rnacentral:rRNA from 1 species
CUGGAGGUAUCAGAAGUGCGAAUGCUGACAUAAGUAACGAUAAAGCGGGUGAAAAGCCCGCUCGCCGGAAGACCAAGGGUUCCUGUCCAACGUUAAUCGGGGCAGGGUGAGUCGACCCCUAAGGCGAGGCCGAAAGGCGUAGUCGAUGGGAAACGGGUUAAUAUUCCCGUACUUGGUGUUACUGCGAAGGGGGGACGGAGAAGGCUAUGUUGGCCGGGCGACGGUUGUCCCGGUUUAAGCGUGUAGGUGUGUGUUCCAGGUAAAUCCGGUUCACUUUAACACUGAGGCGUGACGACGAGGCACUACGGUGCUGAAGCAACAAAUGCCCUGCUUCCAGGAAAAGCCUCUAAGCAUCAGGUAACAUCAAAUCGUACCCCAAACCGACACAGGUGGUCAGGUAGAGAAUACCAAGGCGCUUGAGAGAACUCGGGUGAAGGAACUAGGCAAAAUGGUGCCGUAACUUCGGGAGAAGGCACGCUGACACGUAGGUGAAGUGAUUUACUCACGGAGCUGAAGUCAGUCGAAGAUACCAGCUGGCUGCAACUGUUUAUUAAAAACACAGCACUGUGCAAACACGAAAGUGGACGUAUACGGUGUGACGCCUGCCCGGUGCCGGAAGGUUAAUUGAUGGGGUCAGCGCAAGCGAAGCUCCUGAUCGAAGCCCCGGUAAACGGCGGCCGUAACUAUAACGGUCCUAAGGUAGCGAAAUUCCUUGUCGGGUAAGUUCCGACCUGCACGAAUGGCGUAAUGAUGGCCAGGCUGUCUCCACCCGAGACUCAGUGAAAUUGAACUCGCUGUGAAGAUGCAGUGUACCCGCGGCAAGACGGAAAGACCCCGUGAACCUUUACUAUAGCUUGACACUGAACAUUGAGCCUUGAUGUGUAGGAUAGGUGGGAGGCUUUGAAGCGUGGACGCCAGUCUGCGUGGAGCCGACCUUGAAAUACCACCCUUUAAUGUUUGAUGUUCUAACGUGGACCCGUUACCCGGGUUGCGGACAGUGUCUGGUGGGUAGUUUGACUGGGGCGGUCUCCUCCUAAAGAGUAACGGAGGAGCACGAAGGUUGGCUAAUCCUGGUCGGACAUCAGGAGGUUAGUGCAAUGGCAUAAGCCAGCUUGACUGCGAGCGUGACGGCGCGAGCAGGUGCGAAAGCAGGUCAUAGUGAUCCGGUGGUUCUGAAUGGAAGGGCCAUCGCUCAACGGAUAAAAGGUACUCCGGGGAUAACAGGCUGAUACCGCCCAAGAGUUCAUAUCGACGGCGGUGUUUGGCACCUCGAUGUCGGCUCAUCACAUCCUGGGGCUGAAGUAGGUCCCAAGGGUAUGGCUGUUCGCCAUUUAAAGUGGUACGCGAGCUGGGUUUAGAACGUCGUGAGACAGUUCGGUCCCUAUCUGCCGUGGGCGCUGGAGAACUGAGGGGGGCUGCUCCUAGUACGAGAGGACCGGAGUGGACGCAUCACUGGUGUUCGGGUUGUCAUGCCAAUGGCACUGCCCGGUAGCUAAAUGCGGAAGAGAUAAGUGCUGAAAGCAUCUAAGCACGAAACUUGCCCCGAGAUGAGUUCUCCC